AGGACGAACGCUGGCGGCGUGCUUAACACAUGCAAGUCGAGCGGAAAGGCCCUUCGGGGUACUCGAGCGGCGAACGGGUGAGUAACACGUGAGUAAUCUGCCCUUAGCUCUGGGAUAGCUCCGGGAAAACCGGGAUUAAUACCAGAUAUGACCACUUUAGACAUCUUUUGUGGUGGAAAGAAUUUCGGCUGGGGAUGAACUCGCGGCCUAUCAGCUUGUUGGUGAGGUAAUGGCUCACCAAAGGCGACGACGGGUA
rnacentral:rRNA from 1 species